rnacentral:rRNA from 1 species
CCCGCUGAACUUAAGCAUAUCAAUAAGCGGAGGAAAAGAAACUAACAAGGAUUUCCCUAGUAACUGCGAGUGAAGCGGAAAAAGCUCAAAUUUAAAAUCUGAUAGUCUUUUGGCUGUCCGAGUUGUAAUCUAAAGAAGUGUUAUCCGUGCUGGACCAUGUACAAGUCUCCUGGAACGGAGCGUCAUAGAGGGUGAGAAUCCCGUCUUUGACACGGACUACCAGUGCUUUGUGAUGCGCUCUCAAAGAGUCGAGUUGUUUGGGAAUGCAGCUCCAAAUGGGUGGUAAACUCCAUCUAAAGCUAAAUAUUGGCGAGAGACCGAUAGCGAACAAGUACCGUGAGGGAAAGAUGAAAAGCACUUUGGAAAGAGAGUUAAACAGUACGUGAAAUUGCUGAAAGGGAAACGCUUGAAGUCAGUCGCGUUUGCUAGGACUCAGCCUUGCCUCGGCUUGGUGCAUUUCCUGGUUGAACGGGCCAGCAUCACUUUUGGCUGCGGGAAAAAGGUCAGGGGAAUGUGGCACCUCCGGGUGUGUUAUAGCCUCUGGCUGCAUACCGUGGCUGGGAGUGAGGAACUCAGCACGCCUUCAUGGCGGGGCUUCGGCCACCUUCGUGCUUAGGAUGCUGGCGUAAUGGCUUUAAACGACCCGUCUUGAAACACGG